rnacentral:rRNA from 1 species
AUUGAACGCUGGCGGCAUGCCUUACACAUGCAAGUCGAACGGUAACAGGUCUUCGGAUGCUGACGAGUGGCGAACGGGUGAGUAAUACAUCGGAACGUGCCCGAUCGUGGGGGAUAACGGAGCGAAAGCUUUGCUAAUACCGCAUACGAUCUACGGAUGAAAGCAGUGGACCGCAAGGCCUUGUGCGGAUGGAGCGGCCGAUGGCAGAUUAGGUAGUGGGUGGGAUAAAAGCUUACCAAGCCGACGAUCUGUAGCUGGUCUGAGAGGACGACCAGCCACACUGGGACUGAGACACGGCCCAGACUCCUACGGGAGGCAGCAGUGGGGAAUUUUGGACAAUGGGCGAAAGCCUGAUCCAGCCAUGCCGCGUGCAGGAUGAAGGCCUUCGGGUUGUAAACUGCUUUUGUACGGAACGAAAAGCCUCUUUCUAAUAAAGAGAGGUCAUGACGGUACCGUAAGAAUAAGCACCGGCUAACUACGUGCCAGCCGCCGCAGUAAGAC